UACGGAGGGCGCAAGCGUUGUUCGGAAUCAUUGGGCGUAAAGCGCGUGUAGGCGGAUUGGUAAGUCAGGUGUGAAAUCCCGGGGCUCAACCUCGGAAUUGCUUUUGAUACUGUCUAUCUAGAGUCCGGGAGAGGAGAGUGGAAUUCCCGGUGUAGAGGUGAAAUUCGUAGAUAUUAGGAAGAACACCAGUGGCGAAGGCGGCUCUCUGGCCCGGUACUGACGCUCAUGUGCGAAAGCGUGGGGAGCAAACAGG
rnacentral:rRNA from 1 species